rnacentral:tRNA from 1 species
CAAAAAAUGUUUUAUUUCAUUUACAAUGAAAAAUUUACUGUUCAUUCAGUUUUUUUGA